rnacentral:rRNA from 1 species
CCUGAUUGAUCCUGCCAAUAGUCAAAUACUUGUCUCAAAGAUUAAGCCAUGCGUCUCAGUACACGCCGUAUUAUUAAGGUGAAACCGCGAAUGGUUUAUUAAAAAUCAGUUAUCGUUCCUUAGAUCAUACCCACAUUUACUUGGAUAACUGUGGUAAUUCUAGAGCUGAUAAAUGCAAACCAGAGUUCCGACCGGAGAUGGAAGGAAUGCUUUUAUUUUUAGAUCAAAACCAAUCGGUGGCUCGUCCAUUGCUACUUUUGGGGACUCUGAGUAACUUUCUGCUGAUCGUAUGGUCCUUGUACUGACGACAAAUCUUUAAAAUGUCUGCCUUAUCAACUGUCAAUGGUAGAUUCUCCGCCUACCAUGGUUGUAACGGGUAACGGAGAAUCAGGGUUCGAUUCCAGAGAGGGAGCCUGAGAAACGGCUACCACAUCCAAGGAAGGCAGCAGGCGCGCAAAUUACCCACUCCCGCCACGGGGAGGUAGUGGCAAAAAAUAACGAUACGGAACUCAUCUAAGGCCCCGUAAUCGGAACGAAUACACUUUAAAUCCUUUAAUGAGGAUC